rnacentral:rRNA from 1 species
UACGGGGGGGGCAAGCGUUGUUCGGAAUUACUGGGCGUAAAGGGCUCGUAGGUGGUCAACUAAGUCGGACGUGAAAUCCCUCGGCUUAACCGGGGAACUGCGUCCGAUACUGGAUGACUUGAGUUCGGGAGAGGGAUGCGGAAUUCCAGGUGUAGCGGUGAAAUGCGUAGAUAUCUGGAGGAACACCGGUGGCGAAGGCGGCGUCCUGGACCGACACUGACGCUGAGGAGCGAAAGCCAGGGGAGCAAACGGG